GACGAACGCUGGCGGCGUGCUUAACACAUGCAAGUCGAACGGAAAGGCCCUGCUUUUGUGGGGUGCUCGAGUGGCGAACGGGUGAGUAACACGUGAGUAACCUGCCCUUGACUUUGGGAUAACUUCAGGAAACUGGGGCUAAUACCGGAUAGGAGCUCCUGCUGCAUGGGGGGGGUUGGAAAGUUUCGGCGGUUUGGGAUGGACUCGCGGCUUAUCAGCUUGUUGGUGGGGUAGUGGCUUACCAAGGCUUUGACGGGUAGCCGGCCUGAGAGGGUGACCGGCCACCUUGGGACUGCGAUACGGCCCAGACUCCUACGGGACGCAGCGGUGGGGAAUAUUGCGCAAUGGGCGCAAGCCUGAUGCAGCAGCGCCGCGUGCGGGAUGACGGCCUUCGGGUUGUAAACCGCUGUCGCCUGUGCCGAAGCGUGAGUGACGGUAAUGGGUAAAGAAGCACCGGCUAACUACGUG
rnacentral:rRNA from 1 species